AUAAGCAAAUUAAGGGCGUAUGGGGAAUGCCUAGGCUCUCAGAGGCGAUGAAGGACGUGAUAAGCUGCGAUAAGUUGCGGGGAUCAGCACAUAUGAAUUGAUCCGCAAAUUUCCGAAUGGGGCAACCUGUUAUAUUGAAGAUAUAUCAUCCGAAAGGAAGCGAACCUGGUGAACUGAAACAUCUAAGUAGCCAGAGGAAGAGAAAACAAAAGUGAUUCCGCUAGUAGUGGCGAGCGAACGCGGAAUAGCCCAAACCAAUUAUGUUACGGCAUAAUUGGGGUUGUAGGACCGUAAUGUUUAAUGUGUAAUGAAUAGGAAUUUUCUGGAAAGAAAAACCAAAGAGGGUGAUAGUCCUGUACUGGUAAGUUACAUUAUUAAUAACGGUAUCCUGAGUAGUGCGGGGCACGUGAAACCCUGUAUGAAUCAAGCGGGACCAUCCGCUAAGGCUAAAUACUCCUGAGAGACCGAUAGUGAACUAGUACCGUGAGGGAAAGGUGAAAAGAACCCUGAAUAAGGGAGUGAAAUAGAUCCUGAAACCAUACGCUUACAAGCGGUCGGAGCCCAUUAAUUGGGUGACGGCGUGCCUUUUGCAUAAUGAGCCUACGAGUUACCGUUGUUAGCAAGGUUAAGGAUUUCAGAUCCGUAGCCGUAGCGAAAGCGAGUCUGAAUAGGGCGUAUAGUUAGCAGUGGUAGACGCGAAACCGUGUGAUCUACCCAUGGGCAGGGUGAAGCUGUGGUAACACACAGUGGAGGCCCGAACCGGUUGACGUUGAAAAGUCUUCGGAUGACCUGUGGGUAGGGGUGAAAGGCCAAUCAAACUCGGAAAUAGCUCGUACUCCCCGAAAUGCAUUUAGGUGCAGCGUUAAUUAAGUUUUAUAGAGGUAGAGCUACUGAUUGGAUGCGGGGCUUCACCGCCUACCAAUUCCUGACAAACUCCGAAUGCUAUAAAAUAGUGAUUAGCAGUGAGGGCAUGGGUGCUAAGGUCCAUGUCCGAAAGGGAAAGAACCCAGAUCAUCAGCUAAGGUCCCAAAAUGUAUAUUAAGUUGAAUAAACGAGGUUGUACUGCAUUGACAGCUAGGAUGUUGGCUUGGAAGCAGCCAUUCAUUUAAAGAGUGCGUAACAGCUCACUAGUCGAGCGGUAUGGCAUGGAUAAUAAUCGGGCAUAAAUAUACUACCGAAGCUAUGAAUUCGAAAGAGUGGUAGGGGAGCAUUCUAUAUACGUUGAAGGUAAUUUGUAAGAAUUUCUGGAGUUUAUAGAAACGAAAAUGUAGGCAUAAGUAACGAUAAAGAGGGCGAGAAACCUCUCACCGAAAGACCAAGGUUUCCUCAGCUAUGCUAAUCAGCUGAGGGUUAGUCGGGUCCUAACGCGUACCCGAAGGGGAAGUGGAUGGACAACAGGUUAAUAUUCCUGUACCUGCUCAUAAUAAAAGUGACGGAGGUGUGAAUCUAGUGCGUACUGACGGAAUAGUACGUUGAACCAAUUUUUAAGAUUGGGAUAGUACCAUGAGGUUACGACUGAUUGGAUAAUCUAGAGUAGCAACUUCCAAGAAAAGCAAAUGAAGCAGCCCGUACCUUAAACCGACACAGGUGGUUGGGAUGAGAAUUCUAAGGUGCUCGAGUGAUUCAUGGCUAAGGAAUUAGGCAAAAUUGACCUGUAACUUCGGAGAAAGGUCCCCUAUUUAUAAUAGGGCGCAGUGAAAAGAUCCAAGCGACUGUUUAUCAAAAACACAGGGCUCUGCUAAAUCGAAAGAUGAUGUAUAGGCCUGACACCUGCCCGGUGCCGGAAGGUUAAGAGGAGGGUUUAGCUUCGGCGAAGAUCUCAAUUGAAGCCCCGGUAAACGGCGGCCGUAACUAUAACGGUCCUAAGGUAGCGAAAUUCCUUGUCGGGUAAGUUCCGACUGCACGAAUGGUGUAACGAUUUGGAUACUGUCUCAGCCAUGAGCUCGGUGAAAUUGUAGUA
rnacentral:rRNA from 1 species